UAAUUCUUCAAGUUGCAUCUGAGGAAGUAGACUUACCGGAGUGACUUGAGAAACUGCAAGUUACUUCUGGUGUGAGAGAAUUGGUCGUCUGCAAGCACAUUGUCCAGGAGAUGCCCAGAUGUUUUGAUGUUUUUACCAUCCUUGUGGGAGGCUUCUCUCAUGUCCCUGCAUGGAGCUGGAGCUGACAGAGGGAGCUCAUCUGCGCUCUCCCCCAGUUGGAUUCGAACUGGCAACCUUCAGUUCAAAAGGCAAACAAACACAAGAUAUCCUGAAAAUUCCAGAGGAUGGCUGUCGCACACCAAAAAGGAAGAACUUGCCUCAUACCUCUUUUUUGCUACAGUUCAAGAGCUGGAACUAAAUUUCAGAGGGAUGACUUGGUUCCCUCAUCAGAGGUUGGAGAAACCCACAAAUGGAUGAGUCGUUUACUCAGUGUACAACAAAAGGCAACUUCUCCAGGGCAUUCAUCUGAAAAGCAAAGUACUCCAUUGCAAGCACACACCCUAAGUAAAUUGCAUAAGGAAAAAAUGUAGUUACAAAUGUCAAUUAUAUUCCCAGCUCAAGAAUAAUGGAAUUAUUAGAGCUGAACUAAACUGCUGUUAUCCACCUUUCAGAACUGUUAUUCCUAAUCACAGGUUAUAAAACAGUGAGCUCUUGGAGUACUUAAAUUUCAGGCAAAUUUCAACUUCUGUGUGAGUGUGUCUAUGUGUGUGUUGUGUAAGUCGGGGCUCUAAUCUACCAGAUUUAAGAGACCAGGGGAGGAGGAAGAAUGAGUUGAGAACUCCCCAAUGCAUUAAUACUUAGUUCUUUUGUGUCCCCUUACACCUUGAGAGAAGCUAGUUAGUACAAACAGUCCUAAAUAUAUAUGGACUCUGUGCAUGCCUUGGGAAUGAGGAAAGAAUAUUCAUGCUGUCAAUCAAGCAUAGCCACCUUAAAGAAUCAGCUGCAACUCAGUCUACAGAAAAUGAAAUUCCCCAGGGCAAUAGAAGGGCAUUUCAAGUGCAGAAGGGCUCACAGGCAAAAAUUGCCAUUGAGGCUGACUUCUAAGGAUGACCUCAG
rnacentral:lncRNA from 11 species